rnacentral:rRNA from 1 species
UACGGGGGAGCAAGCGUUGUUCGGAUUUACUGGGCGUAAAGGGCGCGUAGGCGGCCACUGCAAGUCGGUUGUGAAAUCUCCGGGCUUAACCCGGAAAGGUCAACCGAUACUGCAGGGCUAGAGUGCAGAAGGGGCAACUGGAAUUCUCGGUGUAGCGGUGAAAUGCGUAGAGAUCAGGAAGAACACCGGUGGCGAAGGCGCUCUGCUAGGCCGCAACUGACACUGAGGGACGAAAGCUAGGGGAGCGAAUGGG